AUUGAACGCUGGCGGCAUGCCUUACACAUGCAAGUCGAACGGCAGCACGGGUGAUUGCACCUGGUGGCGAGUGGCGAACGGGUGAGUAAUAAAUAGGAACAUGUCCUGUAGUGGGGGAUAGCCCGGCGAAAGACGGAUUAAUACCGAAUACGAUCUACGGAUGAAAGCGGGGGGGCUUCGGUCGUCGCGCGCUAGGGUUGGCGGAUGGAUGAUUAGCUAGUUGGUGGGGUAAAGGCCUACCAAGGCGACGAUCGGUAGCUGGUCUGAGAGGACGACCAGCCACACUGGGACUGAGACACGGCCCAGACUCCUACGGGAGGCAGCAGUGGGGAAUUUUGGACAAUGGGCGAAAGCCUGAUCCAGCAAUGCCGCGUGUGUGAAGAAGGCCUUCGGGUUGUAAAGCACUUUUGUCCGGAAAGAAAUCCUUGGCCCUAAUACGGUCGUGGUAUGACGGUACCGGAAGAAUAAGCACCGGCUAACUACGUG
rnacentral:rRNA from 1 species